rnacentral:rRNA from 1 species
GACGAACGCUGGCGGCGUGCCUAAUACAUGCAAGUUGAGCGCUGAAGGUUGGUACUUGUACCGACUGGAUGAGCAGCGAACGGGUGAGUAACGCGUGGGGAAUCUGCCUUUGAGCGGGGGACAACAUUUGGAAACGAAUGCUAAUACCGCAUAAAAACUUUAAACACAAGUUUUAAGUUUGAAAGAUGCAAUUGCAUCACUCAAAGAUGAUCCCGCGUUGUAUUAGCUAGUUGGUGAGGUAAAGGCUCACCAAGGCGAUGAUACAUAGCCGACCUGAGAGGGUGAUCGGCCACAUUGGGAAUGAGACACGGCCCAAACUCCUACGGGAGGCAGCAGUAGGGAAUCUUCGGCAAUGGACGAAAGUCUGACCGAGCAACGCCGCGUGAGUGAAGAAGGUUUUCGGAUCGUAAAACUCUGUUGGUAGAGAAGAACGUUGGUGAGAGUGGAAAGCUCAUCAAGUGACGGUAACUACCCAGAAAGGGACGGCUAACUACGUG